rnacentral:lncRNA from 1 species
GAACUAUUUAAACAUUUAUGGCUAGUUAGCAGCAGUUGUCAGCACAUCUCAUUACAAAAAUCAGGGAGUGAUAGUUGGACGAGAGUAAAAAUGGGGCAUUUAACUCGCAACAAAUAACAAAAGAAGUAUCAUGGUUGCCGGUCUAGGCUUCGUUUUUGUCUAGGCUUUGUUUUGGUGUAGGCUUUAACAAUCAUUAAGCAAGCACAACUGACUCCCCUUCAGAAAGAAUCUUUCAAGAGUUAAGAUCCAUGCCUCCCGUGUUUCCGUCAUCUUCUUCUCUGAAUCACACUCUGUCUUCAGCUGAUUUCAGUUAUGCGUUCAGUCCUCUAUGCAUUUCAUUCAUUUCUUUCAUCUCUGCUUUCACAUACUUC